UCUAUUGCGAUAAGACGUGUCACGGUACUUGUCUAUCCCAAAUUCAUGUAUUUGGUUUUGAUGUUAUAUUUGUUAUUCUCGUGGGAUUUUGUCUGAUGUUUGAUCCGUUUCUGUGUGUGUUACAUUUUAGUGUUGUGUCGUUGUUCUCCUCUUAUAUUUAAUGCGUUUCCCUCGGUUUUAGUUUGUUAUCCCGAUUUUGUUUUUUUGUCCAUGAAUUUAUGACUUUUGAACAGCGGUAUACUACUGUUGCCUUUAUUUAU
rnacentral:lncRNA from 1 species